GAAAAAAUUCAAGUAAAAAAAAGCAAAAAUCCCAUAGAGAAUUUCAACUCAAGACCUCCUGAUGUUCCAAACUGUACUUCAGCAGUUAGGCUAUCUGGGACCAUCUAAAGACUAGGGCACAUAGUCUCCUGAUCCUAAUGUACCAGCUCCUCUCCUGUUGCUCCUGAGAUUUAUUGAUGUGCUUUCUAUUUGUCGUAGAAGAUCGAUGUUCUCAUCCAGUGCAUGGUGGCAGGAUUGUGUUGAUGCUCCUGUUCCUUUAUCAAGGACCUACUCUCUCGCCAAUAGGGUCACCAGUGGGAGGGGCUGGGGGCGGAGCUUACAAUGGUAGCAAUGAAAUAUCAGCUUUUUUUGAUGUCCUCGAAUCUUGUGCCCACGUUUUUUA